UACGGGGGGAGCAAGCGUUGUUCGGAUUUACUGGGCGUAAAGGGCGCGUAGGCGGUCAGCACAAGUCAGUUGUGAAAUCUCCGGGCUUAACUCGGAAAGGUCAACUGAUACUGUGCGACUAGAGUGCGGAAGGGGCAACUGGAAUUCCCGGUGUAGCGGUGAAAUGCGCAGAUAUCAGGAGGAACACCGGUGGCGAAGGCGGGUCUCUGGGCCGUAACUGACGCUGAGGUGCGAAAGCGUGGGGAGCAAACAGG
rnacentral:rRNA from 1 species